AUUGAACGCUGGCGGCAGGCCUAACACAUGCAAGUCGAACGAGUGGCGGACGGGUGAGUAAUGUCUGGGAAACUGCCCGAUGGAGGGGGAUAACUACUGGAAACGGUAGCUAAUACCGCAUACUAUCGGAUGGGCCCAGAUGGGAUAAGCUUGUGGGUGAGGUAACGGCUAACCUAGGCGCCGAUCCCUAGCUGGUCUGAGAGGAUGACCAGCAACACGGGAAUGGAGACACGGCCCAGACUCCUACGGGAGGCAGAAGUGGGGAAUAUUGCACAAUGGGCGCAAGCCUGAUGCAGCCAUGCCGCGUGUAUGAAGAAGGCCUUCGGGUUGUAAAGUACUUUCAGCGGGGAGGCGUUACCCGCAGAAGAAGCACCGGCUAACUCCGUGCCAGCAGCCGCGGUAAUAC
rnacentral:rRNA from 1 species